UCGGGUUUCGAGGUGCGAGCUCGGAUUUGACUUUUUGGUUGACUUUGAGUAAAUGUGUAAAGAUUCGAUCUUUAUCAAUUGGGUUUGCUUCCUACGAUAUUAUUUGAUGAUUUUGAGUUGCUUUUGGCUAGUUUCAAGCCGUUUAGAGGAUGAUCUGAGCGGGAUGACGCUUCUAGUGUAUCAAUUGGGCUUGUUUGAGAGACAGCAGUUGACGCGAGCGAGAAUUUUGUUAAUUAGAGUACACGAUUUGAUAGUUCCUGGUGAGCCUCGCACUUGUUCGUGUGGGCAAAGAGUUUAUUUAUUUGUUAUUGUCUUUUCUUAUGAACUCUUAGAGUCGCUCCAUAGUCAUUUUUAUUAGUGUCAUGAGCAUUCAUUCGUUAUAUUGGACUAGUUACUAGUAUUAUACUUCUUUCUGUAUUUUUGAGAUGAGUUUAGUAUUAUUAUGUUGAUAAGGUUGGUAAUGUUGGUGAAGACUCGUUUUUGGUUAGUUGGUGAAGAUUGUGACUGAUUUAGGUGAAUAUGAGUUGGUUGUUAUUUGUUUAUGAGACUGGAAAACUUUUAGAUAGUCCUAAAUUAGGGAAAACUCUGUCCAAUUUUCUGUAAAAUAAUGAUAAGGCUUACUUGGGGGCACUUGCUCCCAAGUGUCGGUCAUGAUCCUACAUUGGGUCGUGACACUUAAUCACUAAUACAUCGCUAUGACCGUUAUUCUUGA